CAGAAACCCUAGAAUUCCUCUAUAUAAAUGACCUAAAAAACUUCUUCUGCCUCAUCCAUACAUAUCAAUUUGACUUGGAGGAAUCUGAAAGCUGCUCAACAAUGAAGUUCGUGGCUGCUGCCCUUAUUUUGAUGAUGGUGAGCUCUUCCCAUGGUGAAGACUUCAAAUGAACACGGUGGAUAUCGACUUGACCGACACCUGGAUGAGGAUGGGAAGCAAGUAGUGUAUCCGGGAAGCACUGUGAACAACCACCAUUACAUCCCCAGGCCGGACUUCAACAGCAAGGGUGGUGGUGACAACGACAAUGGCGUUCGCUAAAAUGAUAGUCAUACUUGAGUUGUUAAUGGUGUGGGUUCGUUAUAAGUGCUGUUUGUAAUAUAAGCAAAUAGGUCUUACCUAUAUUAGUUUAUGCUUUUGGUUUAUGUAAAGUAUGUUAUAUAUAUGAUAUUGUUGCAGCCCUAUUAGAUUAUAAA